GAUUAACGCUAGCGGCAGGCAUAAUACAUGCAAGUUGAACGGCAGCACAGGUAGCAAUACUGGGUGGCGAGUGGCGCACGGGUGCGUAACACGUAUGCAACCUACCCUAUACAGGCGAAUAACCUUUAGAAACGAGGGCUAAUACGCCGUAGUAUUACAGACGGGCAUCUAUUUGUAGUUAAGGAUUUGUCGGUAUAGGAUGGGUUUGCGUGUCAUUCGUUUGUUGGUAGGGUAGUGGCUUACCAAGGCUGUGACGGGUAGGCGGCCUGAGAGGGUGACCGGCCACAUUGGGACUGAGAUACGGCCCAGACUCCUACGGGAGGCAGCAGUGGGGAAUAUUGCACAAUGGGCGGAAGCCUGAUGCAGCAACGCCGCGUGCGGGAUGACGGCUUUCGGGUUGUAAACAGCUUUCGCCUGUGACGAAGCGUGAGUGACGGUAAUGGGUAAAGAAGCACCGGCUAACUACGUG
rnacentral:rRNA from 1 species